rnacentral:ncRNA from 1 species
UAGAGUAGAGAAUAAAUAGUUAAGUGUUACUAAACGGGAAGUUGUUAGUAAACGAAAAAGCUAAAAUAGCUUUGCUGAUUUAUUUUCGCAUUCCGCUA